CUCCCCCUCCCUCCACGUAUAGUAGCGUGUUUUCACACCCGGCCAGCGCUUCAGCAGAGAUGUGCUGUGCAGGAGAAGCCAGAAAGCAUUUGCUAGGUGGAAUUUAGAGACGCUGUGCACUAGAGAUCAGCAGCGUCUUUGAGACCAUUCUUAGAGGUCCUGGCAAGCAAACUUUAUUCCAGUGCUUUGGAAGAUCCUUGUGAAAUGUCUUGUUGCAAGAAGAAGCAGAGAAGAUCUUGUGCUUGCUAGAAGUGGUUGGUUUUGUGCUGACAGAAGCGCUGCUUGCAGCCUGCUCACUGCGCCGUUCGAUUCCCGCAGCUCGCUGUGCUGGGAAUUGCAGCUCCUGCAGUUUCCCGUUUAGUUGCAGUGGUCUCGGAAUGCAGCACAAAUACCCAGAAUGUUUUAUUUGGAUAAUUCUCCCGUGUAUUGUUUACUGCUAGUGGUGCUGUCUGUACAACGCUUGUCACUGGUGUGUUUUUAUUAGGAGGACCUGUUUCCUCACUAAGUUAGUUUAAUUCAGAGGCACUGAAUUGAACAACU